rnacentral:misc_RNA from 1 species
CUAGAUUCAACUUAAAUUCUAUCGAUACCGUUAAUCAAACACAAUAUAAAUUUUAUCCCAAACUUCAUCCCGCAUAGUAAACAACACCCUCAAUGUCAGACAAAAAUAACACUACAAUCCUAAAAUAAGUUAUCCCGCCAUUUUAUCCCAACAAGACAUGCGAUAAACUCAUCCUAAAAUUAAUCUCGACAUUAGUUAUCCCCUCUAUAUGUAAUAAACACUAUAACCCCGGG